CGGUUGCUGUGUGACCCGACAGGCCGAAUUAUCUCUGGGGCUAUAAAACAUCCUUUGGGAACUACCUCUGCUAGGAUUGCGGUCUUGGUAUAGUGGUGCCCACCUGUAUUAGCAGGCCACAGAGGAUAUUCAGGGCCAUCGAUCAUUACGGCUUCCGC
rnacentral:other from 1 species